AUGGAAGAAGAAAUUGAUGAAACUGCGAGCUCAUUGAAUGAAAAAGAUGAUGAGGAGAGCAAAGAACAAAAGGAGGAAGAGCGGAUUAGCUACCCAUGCCCACCUUCUAAUGAGAGUAGCUCUUCAACUCAUACAUUGUUUAAUUCCCCUUCGUGCUUACCGAAGGAUGAUUGCUAUGAUGACUAUUAUGAUCCCAUUGAUUAUCUUGAAAUAUCCCUUUUUGAUGAUGCUUGCUAUGUUUGUGGCCAAGAUGCCAAUAUGAAUGAUGCUUAUGGAGAUGAACUUGCUAUAGUUCCUUAUGUUAAACAUGAAAUUGUUGCUAUUGCACCCACGCAUGAUAGUCCUAUUAUCUUCUUGAAUUCUCCCAAUUAUACUAUAUCGGAGAAGUUUGCUCUUAUUAAGGAUUAUAUUGAUGGGUUUCCUUUUACCGUUGCACAUGAUGAUUUUGAUAGAUAUAAUAUGCAUGUGCUUGAUGCUCCUACUUGCAAUUAUUAUGAGAGAGGAACUAUAUCUCCACCUCUCUAUGUUUCCAAUGCGAUAAAAUUGCAAGAAACUGUUUAUACUAUGCAUUGGCCUUUACUUUGUGUGCAUGAAUUGUUCUUUUAUGACAUGCCAAUGCAUAGGAAGAGAGUUAGACUUCGUUAUUGCAUGAUAUAUGUUACUUUGUGCUCACUACUAAAUUAUAAAUCAUUGUUAAUUAAAAUUGGCUUUGAUAUACCUUGGGAUCCUGGUGGAUUCAUUACUUGA
rnacentral:rRNA from 1 species